GCCAACUCUCUCAAGAAUAGACAUCCUAGCGCCUCAGAAUGGCCUUUGCAAUGCAAGGUUCAGCUCAGCCAUGGAGAAGUCAGGGAAGAUGGAUGUGGCUGAGGCUUUAGAGCUCAGUGAAAAGCUGUACCUGGAUAUGAGCAAAACCCUCGGAAGUCUGAUGAACAUCAAGAAUAUGUCAGGCCACGUGUCCAUGAAAUACCUCUCCCGCCAGGAGAGGGAGAAGGUCAACCAGCUUCGACAAAGGGACCUCGACCUGGUGUUUGAUAAGAUCACCCAACUCAAGAACCAGCUGGGGAGGAAAGAGGAGCUGUUGAGAGGAUAUGAAAAGGACGUUGAACAGCUCAGGCGGAGCAAAGUGUCCAUUGAGAUGUACCAGUCGCAGGUGGCAAAGCUGGAGGAUGAUAUCUACAAAGAGGCCGAAGAGAAGGCCCUGCUGAAGGAGGCCCUGGAGCGCAUGGAGCACCAGCUGUGCCAGGAGAAGAGGAUCAACAGGGCCAUCCGGCAGCAGAAGGAAAGUGUAGAGGAGCACGAACCGAGAAACGGAAAAGAAUCGACACCUUGCAACUGUGCCUUCAAAGAGAAAGACAGGCAGCCCCUGCCACCUGCCUGAAGUUUGAACAGAUGACCUAAGAGACAAGCACGUGUCCAACCCCGUCCAUCCAUUAAGAAUCUUGCUCUAUUGCUCAGGCUAGAGUGCAGUGGUACAAUUUCGGCUCACUGCAACCUCCACCUCCCAGGUUCAAGCGAUUCUCCUGCCUCAGCCUCCCGAGUAGCUGGGACUACAGGUUGGAACCAGAAAAGCCUCCCUAAAGAUGGACCAAGAAAGAGGGAUGCUGAGAAAAGAGACCUCCAGCAAGUCCAGCCAGAGCCUUUUGCAUUCUAAGCAAAGUGGAAAGUACUAGAGAAACCUCGUCCCACCAGGCCUCGUGUGAUCCUCUCUAGGAUGGGCCAUGUUGGACCAAUCUCGCUAAUGACAUGUAAGGAAAAGCCCCUGUGGAGGGCUUCCCUUCCAGCUUCUCGAGGUGAAAGCAUUCACCCUUGGUACCUUUGUCAUGUCUCCUCACUCCUGGAGCUCAGACCAGAAGCUGGAACAGCCACCUUGGGGAUCAGCAGACACCAGCAGCAGGCCAAAGGAUAGUGGAGUGGAGGGACGAGAAGGCCCGGGUGAGCCUUCUCUGAGAAUCACUGGGCUCUGAACCAUGAAUGAAAUGCCUACCUCUGUACUUCCUGUUGUAUAGGACAAAUAAAUCCCUAUCUAUUUAAG
rnacentral:sRNA from 1 species